UCCCCGUACCCCGCUUGAGAAUAACUCCGUUCUGAGCUAGAGCUUGGCUAAUUUGAAGGCUUUUAGUAUAUAGAAUUUCUUAUUAUUCAUUUUUUCCUUAGGCUAACGCAAGUAAUUGUCGACCACAAAAAUGACGGCGGCGGCGGCUUUACCAUAGUAACAGGGAAGUCAUUUGAUACACAACCCUGGCACUUUAACUUUAGUUGCGCCCUGUUAGGGAAGGGAAACGCGUGGCCCCGCCCCAGCGGCGUGAGUUUUAUUCUUUUGCAAAAGCUGUGAAUGUUCGGACUGAGAGAAGAAAAGAGAGUCGAGGCAUCCUAGAGAAUGAGGGUUGCUCAGUGUCAAGGUGUCAACAUAGCUGAGGAUAUGGGGAAGUAAAAGCAGAACAAAUCCGCCUGCUUUCAUGUAGCCUGUGGGCUCCAUGUGCUUGGUGGUGAGGGGGCGGGGCGACGGAGGAUGUUGGCAGGCAGGGUAUCAGAAAACAUCGGAACUGGAAGUAUCUUUGAUCCCUGGUACACAGCAAGCAGCUAAGAACCAGAAUCUGGGAGACUUGCCUUGGCACGUGGAAUCCAGGGCCUAGCGAAAUGAAGGUGGAUAUCACUGGAUAGCACUUAAACUCCAACAGUAUGCUGCUAGGAUUCAUUCCAGGACACCACAUUACAUUGUUCCCGUAUCUCCUUUGGUUCCUGUUGACUGUGACAGUUUCUCAGAAUUUCUUUGUUUUGAUGACCUUGACAGUAUUUAAGAGUACUACUCAGCCAUGGGAGAACCAGCCAUUUCACCAAGGAGAGCCAGUUCCUUUUAGUAAAUUAAAUUGUCUUCCAGAAUAUGAAAGUUCUAGAUGACUGUAGUAGAACCAGUGGAAAUCCAUUUGGAGAGGAAUGAUUUUGAUGGGAUCCAGUACAUCUUCUCCUUGGAGAUCUUCACCGAGAGGUGCCGGGAGCCGGCACACAAGAUCCCACCCAUGACAAGGUCAUGAGGGAGAAAACCUGACAGGCAAGGUGGAUCAGGUUUUCAGGGGUUUCGAAAAGUCCAGCUCACGAGAUCCCACCCAUGACAAGGUCACGAGGAGAAAGCCUGACAGGCAAGGCAGAUCAGGUUUUCAGGGAUUUCGAAAAGCUGCCCCUGGCGCUCACCUUAAAGAUGAUAUCUGUCUUUCUGAUGCCUGCCUCAAUAGACUGCUCCCUAAUUUCUGUGACACAGGCAGAAGACCUUCCCCAAUCUCUUCCCAAAUAAGAAUCAAUUUAGAACUUUAAUCAAUAAGUUUCCCAGGUGGUGGUAUUUUACCAGAUUAUCCAGGGUGAAAGGAGUGUUUUAAUUUAAACUCCUUUGCUGGUAGUUUGUUAGCCAAAUGCAUUUAUGCCGCUGGUACUAAUAUGCAUGACUGCUCAUAAUACCCUAAUCAUAAAACAGCAUAAAGAACCUGAUCAUAUAAAGGCCCUAAUAGACAUAGAGCCUUUUUGGGGGGUGAAGGAGUCCUAUUAGAAAACAUAAGAAAAAUUAUUCUAAAGGUGGUUAUUGGGUUAACAUUUGCUUGCUGUGUUUUUGCUCUUAAUGUGCUAAGGUUGUGUUAUGGAAACCAUUGUUAAUAUAGUUAAAGAUUUAGAAAAAUAAGAGCUUAGCCCUAGUGUGGUAACAAUGAGAUGGUUGUUAAUUGUCAGCCAGGAGUGCUAGGUAAAAAGCUGCCUCACCAAAGUCGCAGAGUCAAUGUGGGAUAAACUUCUUAGAUAAACUCAACUGACAACUUCUGCAGAAGGAUUAAUUUUUAUGUUAACAAGGUUAUGCUUCUACUCUGUACUGUUGCCCUAUGAGACUGCUACCUUUCAGUUAAGGUCACCAUAGAAACAGAAAAUAGGUUUACAUUCACCUGACUUGCCUAAAAUGUUAAUAGGCCCCAAGGCCAGAAGAUAAUGUACAAGACCCUCAUAAACAAAGAAGUAUGCAGAAAACACCCUGGUUUCGUGAAGGACAAGCUGACUUAAUGUUAAACUAUCUUCCCCUUAGAAAUGUACUAACUUAGGGUAUAAAAGCUAUGGUAAAAAAUAAAGGAUUGCCAGACUCUGCCAGACUCUGUUGCACCCCCCGUCUGGUCACUCUCUCUCUCUCUCUUUUUUUCUC